CUUGACUGUAGCUUGAAAUUGGGUUCGGGCUCUUCUUGCGCAGCCUAGGUGGGAGGCUAUGAAGAUAAACUUUUGGGUUUAUUGGAGCCAUCAGUGAGAGACCACUCUGGAGGAGCUAGAAUUCUAAUGGCGUUCCUUGAAGCAGGACGCUUAACAGUUUCAGGUGGGCAGUUUGACUGGGGCGGUCACCUCCUAAAAGGUAACGGAGGUGUGCAAAGGUUCCCUCAGGCUGGACGGAAAUCAGCCGUAGAGUGUAAAGGCAGAAGGGAGCUUGACUGCAAGACCUACAAGUCGAGCAGGGGCGAAAGCCGGCCUUAGUGAUCCGACGGUUCCGUGUGGAAGGGCCGUCGCUAAACGGAUAAAAGUUA
rnacentral:rRNA from 1 species